rnacentral:ncRNA from 2 species
UACGUAGGGGGCAAGCGUUGUCCGGAAUUAUUGGGCGUAAAGAGCGUGUAGGCGGCCCGACAAGUCCGCCGUGAAAGUCCGAGGCUCAACCUCGGAAUGCCGGUGGAAACUGUCGGGCUUGAGUCCGGAAGAGGCGAGUGGAAUUCCUGGUGUAGCGGUGAAAUGCGCAGAUAUCAGGAGGAACACCAAUGGCGAAGGCAGCUCGCUGGGACGGCACUGACGCUGAGACGCGAAAGCGUGGGGAGCAAACAGG